rnacentral:rRNA from 1 species
AUUGAACGCUGGCGGCAGGCCUAACACAUGCAAGUCGAACGAGUGGCGGACGGGUGAGUAAUGUCUGGGAAACUGCCUGAUGGAGGGGGAUAACUACUGGAAACGGUAGCUAAUACCGCAUACCAUCGGAUGUGCCCAGAUGGGAUUAGCUAGUGGGUGGGGUAAAGGCUCACCUAGGCGACGAUCCCUAGCUGGUCUGAGGGGAUGACCGGCCACACGGGAACUGGGACACGGUCCAGACUCCAACGGGAGGAGGCAGUGGGGAAUUUUGCAAAAUGGGCGCAGUCCGGAUGCGGCCAUGCCGCGGGUAUGAAGAAGGCCUUCGGGUUGUAAAGUACGUUCAGCGGGGAGGCGUUACCCGCAGAGGAAGCACCGGCUAACUCCGUGCCAGCAGCCGCGGUAAUUC